AUUGAACGCUGGCGGCAGGCUUAACACAUGCAAGUCGAGCGGAGCGAGGGUGCUUGCACCUUAGCUUAGCGGCGGACGGGUGAGUAAUGCUUAGGAAUCUGCCUAUUAGUGGGGGGCAACAUUCCGAAAGGGAUGCUAAUACCGCAUACGCCCUACGGGGGAAAGCAGGGGAUCUUCGGACCUUGCGCUAAUAGAUGAGCCUAAGUCGGAUUAGCUAGCUGGUGGGGUAAAGGCCUACCAAGGCGACGAGCUGUAGCGGGUCUGAGAGGAUGAUCCGCCACACUGGGACUGAGACACGGCCCAGACUCCUACGGGAGGCAGCAGUGGGGAAUAUUGGACAAUGGGCGGAAGCCUGAUCCAGCCAUGCCGCGUGUGUGAAGAAGGCCUUUUGGUUGUAAAGCACUUUAAGCGAGGAGGAGGCUACUAGUAUUAAUACUACUGGAUAGUGGACGUUACUCGCAGAAUAAGCACCGGCUAACUCUGUGCCAGCCGCCGCAGUAA
rnacentral:rRNA from 1 species